AUGAAAACUGACCCACACCAUUGGAGCAGGGCUUGGUUCAGGUUGGGCUCUAAUUGUGACUCGGUAGACAGCAACAUUUGCGAGUCUUUUAAUAAGUGGAUCAUGGAGCCUCGCUGUUUGCCAGCAAUCAGCAUGUUUGAAGCCAUUAGGGUGAAGAUAAUGGCUAGGAUAGAAUAUCAAAGAACCGAGUCGGACAAGUGGACUGGCACCAUUUGUCCCACGGUACUUAGAAAACUGAAGAAAAGCAUAAAUGCCUCUGCCUAUUGUCAUGCUAUUUGGAAUGGUGAAGAUUUAUAUGAGGUGACUCAUAGAGAACAUAGGUUCCAAGUGAAUCUAGAAGAGUGGACAUGUAGUUGUAGAUAUUGGCAACUAUCUGGUCUUCCAUGCCCUCAUGCUAUAUCAUGCAUUUUUUUCAAAACCAACAACAUAGAUGAUUACAUUGACAAGUGCUAUAGCAUAGAAGCAUUCAAGAAAACUUAUGCUUUUUGCCUUCAACCUGUGGAAGGCAGACCUGCAUGGCCUGUGUCUGAGAGGCCAAGACCUAAUCCACCAGGGGAGAUUACGAUGCCCGGUAGGAAGAAAAAGCAAAGGACCAGAGAGCAACAAGAGAAGCCAAGGUGUGCCACUAGGGUUUCUAAGAGAGGUACAAAUAUAAGAUGCAGCAUGUGCAAGCUACAUGGGCACAACAAGACAUCAUGCAAAGCAAGAAAUGGCACAGGGAGUUCAAAUACACCAACUCCUGAGCAAGGCCAAGGUCCUGCUAGAAGCAAAGCACCAUCAGCUGCUUCCAAACAGCCUGCUGCAAGCCAAACUGCAACAAGUAGCGAAGCACCAUGUGCUAGUCAAGGGCCAGAUAUGGUACACUAUCCAGGAAAUAUGCAUGAGCAAACCUGA
rnacentral:rRNA from 1 species